rnacentral:rRNA from 1 species
GAUGAACGCUGGCGGCGUGCCUAAUACAUGCAAGUCGAGCGAACGGACGAGAAGUUUGCUUUUCUGAUGUUAGCGGCGGACGGGUGAGUAACACGUGGAUAACCUACCUAUAAGACUGGAAUAACUUCGGGAAACCGGAGCUAAUACCGGAUAAUAUUUUGAACCGCAUGGUUCAAAAGUGAAAGACGGUCUUGCUGUCACUUAUAGAUGGAUCCGCGCUGCAUUAGUUAGUUGGUAAGGUAACGGCUUACCAAGGCAACGAUGCAUAGCCGACCUGAGAGGGUGAUCGGCCACACUGGAACUGAGACACGUUCCAGACUCCUACAGGAGGCAGCAGUAGGGAAUCUUCCGCAAUGGGCGGAAGCCUGACGGAGCAACGCCGCGUGAGUGAUGAAGGUCUUCGAAUCGUAAAACUCUGUUAUUAGGGAAGAACAUAUGUGUAAGUAACUGUGCACAUCUUGACGGUACCUAAUCAGAAAGCCACGGCUAACUACGUG